rnacentral:rRNA from 1 species
UUAGAGUUUGAUCCUGGCUCAGGACGAACGCUGGCGGCGUGCCUAACACAUGCAAGUCGAACGGAAUCCAUCGGCAGAUCCCUUCGGGGUGAAGCUGAGAAGAUUUAGUGGCGGACGGGUGAGUAACACGUGAGCAACCUGCCUUCCGGUGGGGAAUAACACAGGGAAACUUGUGCUAAUACCGCAUAAUGCAUUCUGAUCGCAUGAUCUAAAUGCCAAAGCUUUAUGUGCCGGAAGAUGGGCUCGCGUCCGAUUAGGUAGUUGGUGAGGUAACGGCUCACCAAGCCGACGAUCGGUAGCCGGACUGAGAGGUUGAACGGCCACAUUGGGACUGAGACACGGCCCAGACUCCUACGGGAGGCAGCAGUGGGGAAUAUUGCGCAAUGGGGGCAACCCUGACGCAGCAACGCCGCGUGAAGGAAGAAGGUCUUCGGAUUGUAAACUUUUGUCUUCAGGGACGAAUUCUGACGGUACCUGAGGAGGAAGCUCCGGCUAACUACGUGCCAGCAGCCGCGGUAAUACGUAGGGAGCAAGCGUUGUCCGGAAUUACUGGGUGUAAAGGGUGCGUAGGCGGGUUUGCAAGUCAUGUGUGAAAUACCGGGGCUCAACUCCGGAACUGCACAAGAAACUGCAUAUCUUGAGUGCAGGAGAGGUAAGCGGAAUUCCUAGUGUAGCGGUGAAAUGCGUAGAUAUUAGGAGGAACACCAGUGGCGAAGGCGGCUUACUGGACUGUAACUGACGCUGAGGCACGAAAGCGUGGGGAGCAAACAGGAUUAGAUACUUUGGUAGUCCACUCCGUANACGAUGGAUACUAGGUGUAGGGGGUAUCGACCCCCUCUGUGCCGCAGUUAACACAAUAAGUAUCCCACCUGGGGAGUACGGCCGCAAGGCUGAAACUCAAAGGAAUUGACGGGGACCCGCACAAGCAGUGGAGUAUGUGGUUUAAUUCGAAGCAACGCGAAGAACCUUACCAGGGCUUGACAUCCUUUGACAACCUUAGAGAUAGGGCUUUCCCUUCGGGGACAGAGAGACAGGUGGUGCAUGGUUGUUGUCAGAUCGUUUCGUGAGAUGUUGGGUUAAGUCCCGCAACGAGCGCAACCUUUACGGUUAGUUGGUACAUUAAGUUGAGCACUCUAGUCGGACUGCCGUUGAUAAUACGGAGGAAGGUGGGGAUGACGUCAAAUCAUCAUGCCCAUUAUGUUCUGGGGGACACAAGUAAUACAAUGGCGUUUAACAGAGGGAAGCAAUACAGUGAUGUGGAGCAAAUCCGUAGAUAACGUCCCAGUUCAGAUUGCAGGCUGCAAUCCGCUUGCAUGAAGUCGGAAUUGAUAGUAAUGGCGGGAUCAGCAUGCCGCGGAGAAUACGUUCACCGGGUCUUGUACACACCGCCCGUC